rnacentral:rRNA from 1 species
UCGAGAAUCUUCCGCAAUGGGCGAAAGCCUGACGGAGCAAUGCCGCGUGAGGGAUGAAGGCCUUCGGGUUGUAAACCUCUGUCGCCCGGGACGAAUCAAUGACGGUACCGGGAGAGGAAGCUACGGCUAACUACGUGCCAGCAGCCGCGGUAAUACGUAGGUAGCGAGCGUUAUUCGGAUUUACUGGGCGUAAAGGGUCCGCAGGAGGCCUGCCAAGUCUGAUGUGAAAGCCCACGGCUCAACUGUGGAACGGCAUCGGAAACUGGCGGGCUCGAGUGCACGAGGGGAAAGCGGAAUUCCAGGUGUAGCGGUGGAAUGCGUAGAUAUCUGGAGGAACACCGAUGGCGAAGGCGGCUUUCUGGCGUGCAACUGACUCUCAUGGACGAAAGUGUGGGUAGCAAACA